rnacentral:rRNA from 1 species
GACGAACGCUGGCGGCGUGCUUAACACAUGCAAGUCGAACGGAAAGGCCCUGCGUUUGUGGGGUGCUCGAGUGGCGAACGGGUGAGUAACACGUGAGUAACCUGCCCUUGACUUUGGGAUAACUUCAGGAAACUGGGGCUAAUACCGGAUAGGAGCUCCUGCUGCAUGGUGGGGGUUGGUGAGUUUCGGCGGUUGGGGAUGGACUGGCGGCUUAUCCGCUUGUUGGUGGGGUAGUGGAUUACCAAGGCUUGGACGGGAAGCAGGCCUGAGGGGGUGAGAGGCGACACUGGGACGGAGAGACGGCACAGGCUGCGACGGGAGGCAGCAGUGGGGAAUCUUGCCGAAUGGGCGGAAGCCGGAUGCAGCAACGCCGCGUGCGGGAUGACGGCCUUAGGGUUGUAAACCGCUUUCGCCUGUGACGAAGCGUGAGUGACGGUAAUGGGUAAAGAAGCACCGGCUAACUACGUG